CACUCCUACGGGAGGCAGCAGUGGGGAAUAUUGGACAAUGGGCGCAAGCCUGAUCCAGCCAUGCCGCGUGAGUGAUGAAGGCCCUAGGGUUGUAAAGCUCUUUCACCGGUGAAGAUAAUGACGGUAACCGGAGAAGAAGCCCCGGCUAACUUCGUGCCAGCAGCCGCGGUAAUACGAAGGGGGCUAGCGUUGUUCGGAUUUACUGGGCGUAAAGCGCACGUAGGCGGACUAUUAAGUCAGGGGUGAAAUCCCGGGGCUCAACCCCGGAACUGCCUUUGAUACUGGUAGUCUUGAGUUCGAGAGAGGUGAGUGGAAUUCCGAGUGUAGAGGUGAAAUUCGUAGAUAUUCGGAGGAACACCAGUGGCGAAGGCGGCUCACUGGCUCGAUACUGACGCUGAGGUGCGAAAGCGUGGGGAGCAAACAGGAUUAGAAACCCUGGUAGUCCCAUG
rnacentral:rRNA from 1 species